GAAAAAUAAACAGGCAAGGACAAGAGGGAUGGACCAAGCCUGAAGUCCCUUUAAGGAAGACACCACCUACCACCACCAUGGGUGAUAGGCUGUCAUCACUACUACAACAUCUGCCUGUGCAUCCUUGGCAACAAAAUGACAAAGUGAGAAAGAAGGUAAAGGAUGAAUGCAGUGGUGUACUCCAAAUGACUUGUACUGGCUGUGAGAGCUGAAGAAUAUAAACAGGUACUUAAAAGCACAGCAUUGACAACAAAAAAUGCUUUCCUUUUGGCUUGAAAGAAGGCAAUAAGAAGAAAGAUUUUAGGAGCUGAGCUGGAAAUUAAGAAGAAAGCCUCAAGGUUUUGUGAGCAUGAACCUACUUAAGGGGUCUUGCCUCCAAGACAGUAUUUAGGAUAUAUGGAAAGAAGCACGGGAAACAAAGAACUACAAUACAACCUCUACCAUACAUCAGAUGUCUGAGUCCUGAGCUCUGUUCUGUUCCACUGGUCAAUUUGUCUUCCUGCACCAAGACAAUACUAUCUUAAUUAUUAGAGUUUUAAAAUAUUUUAAUAUUUAGUAGGCAAGUAUAUCUACCUUAUUCCUCUUCAUCAGAAGUGUUGUAAUUCUUGGCACAUUGCUAUUCUGAACACCUUUUAAAAUUAGUUUGCGAAUUUCCACCAAAAACACUGUUGGGAUUUGAAUUGUGCUGUAUUAAAACUGUGGAUCAGUUUGGGGAGUACUGACAUAUUUAGAGCAUUGAGUCUUCCUUUUCAUGAACAUGGAAUCUUUCUCUAUCAAGUUCUUCUUUUACAUCUUUCAGUAAUGUUUUAUAGUUUAUCCAUAAAGGUCUUGCAUAUUUUUUGUGAGAUUGCUCUGAAGUACAUUUUUUUGUUGUUGCAAUUGUAAAUGGAUAUUUAGAGGCCGUUUGCUCUUUGUGGCUGGUGUAUAUAAAUGAAUUGAUUUUUAUGAAUUCAUCUUUUGCCCAACCACUUUGCCAAACUCAUAAUUCCAAUAUUUUUUCUACAGAUUCUUUUGGGUUUUCUAUGUAUACAUAACAUCUAUGAAAAAUAGAUUGUUCCUUCCUUUCCAAUCUUUGUAUCUAUUAGUUUUUCUCUUGACUCUUUGUACUGGCUUAUGAUAUUUAAUAAAAUGUUGAGU